rnacentral:lncRNA from 1 species
CUGGAAUCAAGAACUACCUCAGGUUGUUAUAGAAUUCUCUGAACCAAGAAUCACAGAACCUUCCAUUUUCCACUGCAGUUUGAGUCUUAAUACACUUCUCUCUCUAAAUGGUUGAACCAACCCGAAUUUCUAUGAUUGCCAAAAUAUGCCUAGCUUUCGUUCUCUAUGUGAGUGUGCGCGGGCGAGAGAGAGACUUGAGGCUCUAGCGAACUGCGAAGCCAAGUAGCCAACUAACCAAGCGAGAAAAUAUGGGAUUUUGGAAGAUUGGAACUAGAAGUCUGGAACUGGAAGCGGAAGCAAGAGAAGUCAAGCAAGAGAGAUGGUCAGACGGAAGCGAUGGAGCUUUUGGGGAAAAUGGAUUUCAAUUUGGGAAUUUUGGGGAAAAUGGAUAAUGGAUCAGGCUACGGGCUUGAGCUUGAGAGUUUUGG